CGUGGCUUGAAUAAGCGGCCACUUUAAUCUUAGCUGCGACUCGUUCCACUAACGAGGCUCAGCUGUUUUUCAUCAACGCUUAUUCAAGCCAGGCUAAUCCAAGCCGCGGCUAUGCGCGCCUCCGUGGUACAUAAAAAGCCCUGACGUAUCAAUUGUCGAAAUGACGAGAUCAUGGGAAAAAAAGGGCAGAGUGGAGUCUUUCUCAGCGGUGGAGCAAACACUCCUCAUGGAGUUGUACGAAGAGUACGAGGGAAAAUUUCAAAUGAAAGGCAACACUGUUGCCAUUGUGAGAUCGCAGACCAUUUAAAUUCGUAAGUUAUUGCCGACAAAUAUUUUACAACCGACGCAUUUCUCGAUGCAGUCAGCCUGCUUGGCUGUCUAAUUUUAUUCCUCACUUCUGCGUAUGUACUGUAAACACUUUAAAUUUUCAUCUCAUGUAUGUGCAGCUCACUCAUACAGUCUGUCAGCCUCUGUGCAGCACCUUUGCAGCAAGCAGGGCCACCUACAGCAGCAGGGGGCGCCAAUUUGACAAGAGUUAAUACAAAACCGCUUUGCGGUGCAGAUUUAUUAUCUUUUUUCUUUCUUUUUUGGAAGUGCUCAUGCCGCCCCCCAUGAGUCAUGACACAAAUGGGGGGCGGCCUGCUUGGCUGUCUAAAUGCCACCCUGGGCGGCUGCCCGGUCCGCCAGUGCCCGCCACUGCACUGUAGGCAUAAAUUAUGUUCUUGUUUUGGCAAAUAGAUAUCCAUAAUGGAUUAGUAUAGCAGCUACAGGUAAGACCUAAAACCAAAGUAGGCCCUUUUUUUUUUCUUUUCCUUUUUAUUAGGGAUGAUAGUGGCACAGCGCCCUUCAUUUAAAUAAGGGAGAAGACACAAAUGAGCUUUACAAAGAGUAGUCAUGUCGUCAUUUGCCAUCACCUUUACAUUAUCACCAUCAUAAUCAGAAUGGACCACUGGUGAAAUAGAGGGUUUUUUUAAUGGGAAAUUGUUGCUGUUGUCGCCUUCAGUGUUUUGGAUGAGAUCAUUUGUGCCUUUAUUCUGUUAUGUGUUGACAGUACAUUGAGAGUCACAGAAUAAAAGAAAGAAAAGCAGAUAUUUCCAAAUAAUUACCGCUGAUGGGAUUGAACCCACAGAGCAGUGAAAAACACAUUUUACCGGCACUUCUCUUUACCCACUCAGUUACUCAACUUCUCUUUCUAUUUGAGGUUGGCGUAGUGUUGGGCAUGUCCGGAUUCACGUAUUCCUAUGUUGUUUCAAAAAGCUCUCAAUUUAUUUUUCCGAACAAGAGUAUCAUUUAUUACAGAUAAAGAUGAAAUUACUGUGUGACAUGCGGUUCACAAAGCAUCUUCUGGAAGCCUGUCGGAACUUCUCUGAGACGCAGCUAAGGUUAGCUUGGUCGUAAGCCUGCCUGGAACCAGGCUUGUCGUGCUGGCUGAGUUACUAUGGUUACCGAGCCACGCUAGCCCCAAGCCUCGUUUGUGGAACCGAACUCUCACUAAAAUUAGCCAAGCUAACCGAAAUAAGCCAGGCUUUGAGCUAAGCCAGCUUGUGGAAUACCCCCCCAACUUUGGUAACGACUACAGGAUAGCAAUACACAGCGGUCUACAUCUCUACACACACCUCAACCAAAAGGCCACUCUAUAGCCACAAAUAAUGCUCAGAACAGCACCUAACUUCAUGAACAGAACAUACUGCACUCUGUGAUCGGCACAUCAGGGCUCCCCACCAAACAGCGGCUGCUGGAAGAGAGCGGGUAUGUUUUGUUUAGUCUCUUUGCCAAAGAAAUUAUGCAAAGCUAAAAAGAUGUUUGGUGGCUAGUAAUAUGGCUGGGACCCCAUAUGUACUGUUGAUGAAGUUAGGUGCUGUUCUGAGCAUUAUUUGUGGCUAUAGCCCUUUGAGGUCUCUUAAAGUAAAGAACACUACUAAUAAAAUGCAUUAUUAUUUUUAUUAUGAUUAUGAUUAUUAUUAUUAUUACAGAGUGGCUUUUUGGUUCAGGUGUGCACCUGGGGACGUCGAUUGCUGUGUAUUGCUAUCGUGUGUUUGUUGCUGAGGUUGGUAUAACUAUAGAAGCAAGUAAUCUGCAACAUUCAUCUCUCGAGGGGGUGUCUAACUCAGUGUUACGGUGUGUUUAUAACUUCAAUUUACGCCGGAAUAUUCCUUUAAGCUGAUCUAGGUAUCUGUUUAGAGAUUAGUAUCGGGGCCGGCUCUACGCUCAAACAAAUGGCCUGCCCCCUCAAAUCAAAUUUUUAAUAGGAGGUUUUCAGUCAUGUGAUCCUGACUUUGCGUGAGGACCAAAUGGAGGGCAGGAAGCAACCGACUGCAAUGGAGGAGAUACACUGGUUUAGAUGCAUGCCGGUAUUUAGCCUUAGAUGGAGUUUACCACCCGCUUUGGGCUGCAUUCCUAAACAACCCGACUCUGAGAAGACCAUACCCUGGCGCGACAGGGGCCGCUACCGGCCUCACACCUUCCACGGUAUUCGGCACUGGGCUCUUCCCUCUUCACUCGCCGCUACUGAGGGAAUCCUGGUUAUUUUCUUAUCCUCUGCUUAGUAAUAUGCUUAAAUUCAGCGGGUCGUCUCGUCUGAUCUGAGGUCGUAGUUGGAGGAUGGGGGGGGGGGGACCUUUUUCCCCGUCUGCCCCCCUCCCGGCGCGUCUGGCUGCUCAACACCCCCCUCCUAAAAAUGAGUCAUUACCUUUGACAAAGUGGUAACUACACAUACGGGCAUUAUCCGAUGCAGCUCCUCCAGACCGUAGCAGCUGGGUGCUGACUUUGUCUGCUGGUCUGUAUGUCAUCUGUGCUGCUGGUCUUGUUUAGAUUAGACCAGUGGUUCUCAAAUCCAGUCCUCGAGCCCCUCGAGCCCCCCCC